GGAUUGGCACAUGAGAGUUCCAAACGGUAAAAAACUACAACCUUAAAAACCCCCAAUUCUUCAAUCCUUCUUCUUCAUCUGUUCUUCUUCAUCCUUUCUUCUCCAUAACUGAACCUUCAUCUGUUCUUCUUCAACCAUCUUAUUCGACCAUUCUUCUCCUUUCUUCCACAUCGAUUCUUCCACUACCUCCUUUCUUAGUUUCACAUCGAUUUGUUUUGUGUGUUUGCAGAUCGGAAAACAGAAAAUCGAUUUGUUUUGUGUGUUUGCAGAUCGGAAAACAGCCAUCAAAGGUCUUUUUGUUGCUCGGGGUAAGUUUCAAAGUUCUUGAAGAUAGAGAUGAAGCGAUUUCUUGCUUCGAUUUGAUGAGGAAUUAUUUUCGUGGUGUACUCGUAAGGCUUCCUAAUAUCAUAUUCAAUAUUGAGCAAUUGGAUGUGGUGGUAAGGGAAGUGAAAGGUUUGGAAUUCAAUUUUAAGUUCAGAAUGGGGAAACUCGAAAUUGCACAGUUGCAUAUCACAGAAACAACGAAAGCAAAUUGGCGCAAUGUCAUUGUUUGGGAGCAUCAUAAAAAGAACGGUUCUUCCUCUUCAACCUAGAGCCCCACUAGUCCCAUCGGCAAAUUUACUUCGUCUGCGUUGAUUUUCCAUGGGUUAAUUUGUUGCUCGGCUGAUGUAAUUUUUCUGAAGGAAAAGAAAAUCAUUGUGGAUCAUACAUGCCAGGCUGCAGGGGUAAGUUUCAAAGUUCUUGAAGAUCAGAAAACAACCAUCUCUAUCUCACGUGCCAAUCCUUUAUAUAUUUCCUUUUUUCUUUUUUUUUAUUCAAGUAUUACACAGGUGGCUUUUUGAAUAAAAAUAAAUGGGAAAAUACACAUGUGGCAUGCCACCUCCGCGUUGAUUCGGUCAAAAUUGACCAAAAGGUCUCUUUUGCAAAGGGGCUAAAACAUAGGGGUUUAAAUUUUCAUUUUUUUUAAUAGGGGGCCAAAAUCGCAACAUUGUGAAAGUUAGGGGGUCAAAACUGCAGUUUAGCCUAAGAAUUAACAUCAGAUCAUUUUCUAAACAGAAAAAAUACAAGAGAUAACACCAAUAAUAACGGCACCAGAAGAAUGAGCGAAGGUGUUGGGCAUUGUAAUUUAAAAGUGAGGUGCAAAUGUAAGGGCGUGUUUGGUUAUAGUUUUUUGUUUCUUGUUUAUAGUUUUUAUUUUCACUUACAUGGUAUUGCAAAAACACAUAUAUUAGUUUGAAAUUGAAAGGGGAGCAUGAAAUGAAAAGUUGACCUUCUCCUUCCGAUUACAAAAAUACAUGGUAUUCCCCACCUGCAUAGUUAUUAUACAAGUAAGUUAAGAGUAAAUUAUUGGAAACAAAAACAUUGAGAUAUCCACAGCCAGUUUGUUGUUGUUGUUGUUACGCUAGAUUUUGAGGUGAAGGACUGAAGUGGUUGUUUUAGCUCUUAUCAAAUUCACGGGUCUACAUCAAGGAGUUCUAAAUCAGAUUCAAACAGUUCAUCAUCAAUUAGGGAUAUUAGCAAAACAUUUAUAUUUGCUUUUGAAAGUUCUCAUGCGCCAGAGCUUUCUUCUGUCUCUGGUGAACCAUUGUUUACUCUUUUUGGAAAACGAAUGUACUAUGAUGUAUGCCCGGAAAGUGAUUAAAAAUGUAAGUUCAAUGGUCAGAACAUACGAUGUCCGCCAUGCUGCCUGUUUGAAAGUUGUGUGGUCUUGACCUUUCAUCAGCCAAGCACAUCAUUAAAAGUUCCAUGAUCUGUUUGAGUUCGAUGAAAAGAAGAGAAGCUGCAGAUGACAACUUUCACGUCACAAUACAAGACACCGUAAAUAUCAUCCUGAAUCUGUCCAAUCAAGUCAAUCAGCUUUGUCUUCUUCAUCCUGUGAUGGAAAGCAACAGAUGAGUCCAUUUGCUAAUUCAAAGACUGCUACAUAUUUAGCCUGGCAAAACAUGCACAACAAGUACUGUCACUAUGCUUUCUGUUGAUUUCAAUGUCCAUUUUACAUCCAAAGUCCUUGCAACCAAGAGUAUCAAUCCAGGUUAUUUCACAUCUAUUGCCACAUUUUUUGUGCUGAAUUUUUUUAACUAUUGCAGGUGUAGAAGAUUUCAUUACAUUUUAAACAAGAUUUUUUUACUUGUGCUCUUUCACUUCUGUCAAUCAAUCCGUGGGAUUCAUAUGCGAUUAAAUCCAUGUCUCUAGAACAUUCUAAUUGCCCAGCCAGUGCUGUUCAAGCCUUAACUCAUGCAAUGAGUCUGCGCAUGUCUCCUGCUUCAUCAGAAUCAUGGUGUAGACGAGUAGUGGUCAUGGUCAACAUGUCAAUUCCAGCAUGUGGAUCUCAUGCCGAAAGAGAUAUGAAAAUUCCAGCAGUGAGACUUUGAUAUAGCGUACGCCAUAGCUCAAAAUCAUCUUUAUCGCAAAUGUUGCCUAAUUUCUGAAUUUUGUCAGCAUGAGGCGAAAACAUUAACCAAUCCAUCUCUUUCCCUCUCACUUUCUCUUUACUCUCUCUAUUUCUGUAAGUGCUUUAAGAUGUUUAUUAGGUACCUUUCUUUGAUCCAACAACCAUGACUUCCUCUGAUAAUUUUAUUUCACUGUUGUAAAUAAAUUUCAAAUGGAUUGUUCAAUUGGACCAGUUACUAAAUCAUUUAAUUAAA